GGCUCUGCUAGGGGGGAACCAGCAGGUGGAUCUCUCCAGGUUCCAGCAGACACUCUGGAGCAGCCUGAGGGCGGGUGACAGUGUAAAGAUCAAAGGCUCGCGUGCCGCGCCAGGCGGCCGUAUGGAUGGAGACCCCGACAUCAAGGCUGCCGUGAGCGCCGCCGAGAAGGACCGAGCGGAUCUGCGGAAAAUCGAAGAGGCCUACGAGAAUGUGAAUUUGGAAAUAAGGGAGAUAACAGAGAAGCUGUCUGUAGACUACGGAACUGAAAAGGAGUUUCUGUUCCUGGGAAGCCUCUGCCUCCAGCUGAAGGUCCAUGAGU